GACGAACGCUGGCGGCGUGCUUAACACAUGCAAGUCGAACGGUAAGGCUCCAGCUUGCUGGGGUACACGAGUGGCGAACGGGUGAGUAACACGUGGGUGACCUGCCCUGCACUUCGGGAUAAGCCUGGGAAACUGGGUCUAAUACCGGAUAGGACCGCACCGUGAGGGUGUGGUGGAAAGUUUUUUCGGUGUGGGAUGGGCCCGCGGCCUAUCAGCUUGUUGGUGGGGUAAUGGCCUACCAAGGCGGCGACGGGUAGCCGGCCUGAGAGGGUGGACGGCCACAUUGGGACUGAGACACGGCCCAGACUCCUACGGGAGGCAGCAGUGGGGAAUAUUGCACAAUGGGCGGAAGCCUGAUGCAGCGACGCCGCGUGGGGGAUGACGGCCUUCGGGUUGUAAACUCCUUUCACCAUCGACGAAGGGUUUCUGACGGUAGAUGGAGAAGAAGCACCGGCUAACUACGUGCCAGCAGCCGCGGUAAUACGUAGGGUGCGAGCGUUGUCCGGAAUUACUGGGCGUAAAGAGCUCGUAGGUGGUUUGUCGCGUCGUCUGUGAAAUUCCGGGGCUUAACUCCGGGCGUGCAGGCGAUACGGGCAUAACUUGAGUACUGUAGGGGAGACUGGAAUUCCUGGUGUAGCGGUGGAAUGCGCAGAUAUCAGGAGGAACACCGGUGGCGAAGGCGGGUCUCUGGGCAGUAACUGACGCUGAGGAGCGAAAGCAUGGGGAGCGAACAGGAUUAGAUACCCUGGUAGUCCAUGCCGUAAACGGUGGGCGCUAGGUGUGGGUUUCCUUCCACGGGAUCCGUGCCGUAGCUAACGCAUUAAGCGCCCCGCCUGGGGAGUACGGCCGCAAGGCUAAAACUCAAAGGAAUUGACGGGGGCCCGCACAAGCGGCGGAGCAUAUGGAUUAAUUCGAUGCAACGCGAAGAACCUUACCUGGGCUUGACAUAUAUAAGAUCGCGCCAGAGAUGGUGUUUCCCUUGUGGCUUGUAUACAGGUGGUGCAUGGUUGUCGUCAGCUCGUGUCGUGAGAUGUUGGGUUAAGUCCCGCAACGAACGCAACCCUUGUCUUAUGUUGCCAGCACGUUGUGGUGGGGACUCGUAAGAAACUGCCGGGGUUAACUCGGAGGAAGGUGGGGAUGACGUCAAAUCAUCAUGCCCCUUAUGUCCAGGGCUUCACACAUGCUACAAUGGUCGGUACAGUGGGUUGCCAGUCCGUGAGGGCGAGCUAAUCCCGCAAAGCCGGUCUCAGUUCGGAUCGGGGUCUGCAACUCGACCCCGUGAAGUCGGAGUCGCUAGUAAUCGCAGAUCAGCAACGCUGCGGUGAAUACGUUCCCGGGCCU
rnacentral:rRNA from 1 species